rnacentral:tRNA from 1 species
ACGGAUGUAGUUAAGUGGAUCGAGGCAGUGGAUUGUGAAUCCACCAUGCGCGAGUUCAACUCCUGUCAUUCGCC